rnacentral:rRNA from 1 species
UACGUAGGGUGCGAGCGUUGUCCGGAAUUACUGGGCGUAAAGAGCUUGUAGGUGGUUUGUCGCGUUGUUCGUGAAAUCUCACGGCUUAACUGUGAGCGUGCGGGCGAUACGGGCAGACUAGAGUACUGCAGGGGAGACUGGAAUUCCUGGUGUAGCGGUGGAAUGCGCAGAUAUCAGGAAGAACACCUAUGGCGAAGGCAGCUCUCUGGGGCGGUACUGACGCUGAGACGCGAAAGCGUGGGGAGCGAACAGG